rnacentral:rRNA from 1 species
GACGAACGCUGGCGGCGUGCUUAACACAUGCAAGUCGAACGGAAAGGCCCUGCUUUUGUGUGGUGCUCGAGUGGCGAACGGGUGAGUAACACGUGAGUAACCUGCCCUUGACUUUGGGAUAACUUGAGGAAACUGGUGCUAAUACCUGAUAGGAGCUCCUGCUGCAUGGUGGGGGUUGGAAAUUUUCGGCGGUUGGGGAUGGACUCGGGGCUUAUCAGCUUGUUGGUGGGGUAGUGGCUUACCAAGGCUUUGACGGAUAGCCGGCCUGAGAGGGUGACCGGCCACAUUGGGACUGAGAUACGGCCCAGACUCCUACGGGAGGCAGCAGUGGGGAAUAUUGCACAAUGGGCGGAAGCCUGAUGCAGAAACGCCGCGUGCGGGAUGACGGCCUUCGGGUUGUAAACCGCUUUCGCCUGUGACGAAGCGUGAGUGACGGUAAUGGGUAAAGAAGCACCGGCUAACUACGUG